CAAAGGCGCCAAAGAAGAGGAAAUAAAACGUCCCAGACGGUCGGACGCAGAGAAACACACCUUCACCACUAUUGAAUUACGGCCACUAUUUUCAGUGAUCACGGCCAAUAUUGAAGGAUGACCAGCGCGGUCUUAAUUGAGGAACAAAGUAUAUAACAAGUGUGGGGAUAGCUCUAUCCCAGAGCAGGACUUUGAAACUUUACUAGCUCCUAGACCAAUUAUCCUUGUCUUGUGUCUGUCAUGUGCCUCCCCAGCUGCACUAUUCAGAGAAACACUCUUUCAAUCUGGUUUUCUUUGACAGUGGAACCUCAGGCUCAUGUAGCAUGAAACCUCGAGAAUUCCUAUGGCGGUUAUUGAAUGAAACCAUGAAAUUCAGAGCCAAGUUAGUGGAAUCACUUUGACAUCCUAUUUGACAAGGCCCAUAGUUCCAUCAGAGGAACCUGUCUUUAAAAUUAACUUCCACUACUCUUCUGAUGCUGGACGACCGCAUUUCUUCAGGUUUUGAAUGCUGAAUGCCUCCAUAUCUGACCAAUUUCGGUGUCCCAAAAAUCAAGAUCUUACAAUCCUGUAAUGGGUUGCUUCUAUCUGGCUUUUGAUCCUUCCCAUUCCACUCCACUUCAAACUGGUGUGCAUUAUUGCAACCAUUAAUCUUGGACAUCUAUGAUUCUCAGACCAACGCUUGGAACACUUCCCCGAUAAACUUGAAACCACCUGAAAAAACAUCCUUCGAUGCUGUUGAGUUUUGCAGGCGUGCAAUUCACUGGUAUAGUUAUGAACAGACCUCCACUUACUUUGAUGUGGAGAAAGAGUGAUUCAACUUGAUGCCUAUGCCUCAUUCGUUGAACAAUGGCAUUAUCCAUUAUUUUGGAGAGUCUCGAGGCCAUUUGUGUUUGAUAUUGUCCAGCGCAUUAACCUCUUUUGAAGAGUUUGAUGUCUGGGAGUUGGAUGAAGAAUACUCUCCGUGGUCUUUCACAUACCAUAUGAAUCUUGAUUACUUGAGAGCUGCAUUUUGCAGUAGAUAUCAGAUUCCCAGCCAUAGGUUUGUGCCCUGGGUUUUGAGUGUUGUUCCUGGUGCAAACAAAGAGGAGUCAGAAGUUGUGGUGCUGGUGUUUGGUAUGGUUGUUUCCUACAAUUUGAAAAAUGGAACCCUUAAGAAACUUAUGGGUUUGGUUCCUUGUCAAGAGGCUGCUGUUCAUAAUUUAAAGUGCCAUUGGUACAGUAUGCUUCCAUUCAUACAAACUCUCUCUCCCGUAUGAGAACCUAACCAGUUCUCUUUUGGGAAUUCUCUGGAGAGGCCCAGAUGCAGUUGAAGUAGAUAUAUCUGUGUAUGAGUUUGUAUUUUUGAGGUGUCGACUUGGGAUAAACUGGUGUGAUUUGUGUCUGGUAUGGCUGCGUCCUACAGUGUCAUGAAGAAGUUUCUGCAAACUAGUGUGAUUUAGAAUUCUCGAGUGGGAAAUAUGCCUUCCCAGCUGUCAUGUGCCUUCCCAGCUGCACUUUUCAGAGAAACAUGCUUUCAAUCUCGUUGUUUCUUUGAAAAUGGAAGCUCAGGCUCAUGUAGCCUGAAACCCAAUGAAACUAUGAAAUUCAGCGCUAAGUUACUGGAAUCACUUUUACAUCCUAUUUGACAAGGUUCAUAGUUCCAUCAGAGGAUUCUAUCUUUAAAAGUAACUUCUUCUACUUUUUUGAUGCUGGACGACUGCAUGUCUUCAGGUAGGGAGCAUAUGUUGACUGCAAUGCUACUGAUAGUUGAAGUCAUACCUUAUAUUCACAAAUCACUAUAAACAACAGAUAUUUUGGUUCAAGUAUUCUGAUCAGGUGCUGAAUGCUAAAUGCUUCGAUGUUCUUUAACUGGUAUGUAU